ensembl:lncRNA
CCUCUCCCCGCCCCCCACGCUGCCAGCUCCGAGAGAGGGGGAGCGGAGCAGAACAAGCGAGCGGGAUCCUUGCUGUUUGGAAGCAGCCGAAACUCUCAAAGCACCCGAGAACUUGGCUAAAGCCCGCGUGUGCGCCCAGAGCUGCCUGUCCCCGUUGGAAAAGUGUCAGGCUGCAGGCUCCUGCCAACCUGCGAGGGACGCAGAAAGUGAGAUCCUCCUAACAGUUUUCUCCUUUCCUGUAAGUGCCCUGAACAUGAUUGGGUAGAUUUCUCCAGAACUUAACUAGAAGACUAUCGACAUCACGUCGGAACUAUGCGAGCUGAAGCCAAGAUCCACCAUGGAGGGAUGGGAGAGGCUGGCUGCAGGGAGGAGAUGACUUCACAAGGGAGAAGCGAGGCUCUCUGAGUUGGUCCCAGGACAGCCAAAUGGCUUGGUACAUCUGCUCGCCCCAGCCACACCGCUUGGAGCAGAGCACCAAAAAUGCUGUCACUUCCACAAAGCAAAAGAUCAAGGCAAGCAGAGAGCAGCCUGCCCGAGUGGAACCGAAGGCAGUAGCAGUCUUGCUUGCCUCCUUAGUUACGUGUUUCAGCUCCUCCUUCCCUCCCUAGAGCCUGACGGAUGUAGGUCAUUUUUUAAAAAGUAUAAAACAUUUGUCUGUCUGAACCAAGAAGACCUGAAGCGUCUAGUUUCUGAACACAAGGCAGCAGCAGAGAUCUUAGAAUCUAUGAGACAAAGAAAAGAAUGGUGCAGAGCUUUGGGGAAGCAGCAAAACUUCUGAAGCUGCUGUUUGUUUCCAGUGGCUGCCAGUCUCCAUGAGACCAAGACUCACCAGAAGCUGCUGCACGGAGAGUACAAACGGACACCACGGUGUCCUGGUGUCUGAAUGGCGAUGAUCUGCAGGAUGAUGCCCUCAGAAUGUUUCCAUGUGGUGAUGAG